rnacentral:lncRNA from 1 species
AGAGAAUGGACUUGUUAUACAUGGCAGCAACUACAGUUGCCCCACCAAGAAACGGGUGAAUCACAUACUUAGCAUUCGAAUUUUAAACAGAAAAGAGAAAGAGAAAUGAUUUGCCCACCGUGGCUGCAACAAUAGUUGCCCUGUCAAGAAACAAAUCAAUCAUAUUCUUAGCAUUCAUAUUUUAAACUGAGAAGAGAAAGAGAAAGCAUUUGCCCACCAUGGCUGCAACUACAGUUGCCCCGCCAAGAAACAGAAUGAUCACAUUCUCAACAUCUCAUAUGCGAACUCAAAAGAGAAAUUAUGAAACAUAAAGAAAAUGUUAAUCACAUUCUCAGUAUUAAAUAUUUAAAAUUAAAAGAAAAAAAAGAAAAGACUUGCUAUAAAUUGCUGCAACUAAAGUUGCCCCGCCAAGAAACGGGUGAAUCACAUACUUAGCAUUCGAAUUUUAAACUGAAAAGAGUAAGAGAGAGGAUUUGCCCACCGUGGCUGCAACAAUAGUUGCCCUCCCAAAAAUCAGAUCAAUCACAUUCUCAACAUCUCAUAUGCAAACUCAGAAGAGAAAUUAUGAAAUAUCAAGAAAAAGGUCAAUCACAUUCUCAGCUUUUGAGAUUUAAAAUUAAAUGAGAAGAGAAUGGCCUUGCUAACCAUUGCUGCAACUACACUUGGCCCGCCAUGAAACUGGUUAAUCUCAUUCUUAGCAUUCGAAUUUUAAACUAAGGAGAGAAAGAAUUUGCCCACAGUAGCUGCAACUACAGUUGCAACGUCAAGAAACAGAACGAUCACAUUCUCAACAUCUCAUAUGCGAACUCAAAAGAGAAAUUAUAAAACAUCAAGAAAAGGGUCAAUCAUAUUCUCAGCAUAUGAGAUUUAAAAUUAAAAGAAAAAGAGAAAGGACUUGCUAUACAUGGCUGCAACUACAGUUGCCCCGCCAAGAAAUGGGUCAAUCACAUUCUUAGCAUUCGAAUUUUAAACUGAAAAGAGAAAGAGAAAGGAUUUGCCCACCCUCGCUGCAACAACUAUAGUUGCCCCUCCAAGAAAUAGAUCGAUCACAUUCUCAACAUUACAUAUGCGAACUCAAAAGAGAAAUUAUGAAACAUCUAGAACAUGAUCAAUCAAAUUCUCAGCAUUUGAGAUUUAAAAUUAAAUGAGAAAGAGAAAGGACUUGCUAACCAAGGCUGCAACUACAGUUGUUCUGCCAAGAAACAGGUCAAUCACAUUCCUAACAUUUCAAAUUUUAAACAAAGAAGAGAGAAAGAAAGGAUUUGCCCACUGUGGCUGCAACUACAAUUGCCCCGCCAACAAACAGAUCAAUCACUUAUCAACUACUAUUCUGCCAAAAAAUAGGCCCUCCAUUCUAGCAUUAGAAUUUUAAAACUAAGAAGAGAGAGAAUGAUUUGCCCACGUGGCUACAACUAUAGUUGCCCGCCAAGAAACAGAUCAAAAUCACAUCUCAACAUUUUAUAUGCGAACUCAAAAGAGAAAUUAUAAAACAUCAAGAAAAUGAUCAUUAAAAUCUCAAAAUUUGAGAUUUAAAAUUAAAUGAAAUAAGAGAAAGGACUUACUAACAAAGGCUACAACUACUGUCGCCCCGCCAAAAAUCGGGUCAAUCAUAUUCUUGGCAUUUGAAUUUUAAACUAAGAAGAGAAAGAAAGGAUUUGCCCACCCUAGCAGCAACUAAAGUUUCCCGCACAACCAAAUCCAUACAUCUCAACAUCUCAUGCGAACUCAAAAGGGAAAUGAUAAAACAUCAAGAAAAGAUCAUACACAUUCUCAAAAUUGAGAUUAAAAUUAAACGAGAAAACAAAUUGGACUUUACAUAAACUACGGCUGCCACACUACAGUGGGCCCCGCCAAGAAAAUGGGUCAAUCACAUUCUGGGCAUUCAAUUUUAAACUGAGAAGAGAAAGAGAAAGGAUUUUCCUACGUAGCUGAACUAUCGUUGCCUCACCAAGAAACAGAUCGAUGACAUUCUCAACAUCACAUAUGGAACUCAAAAGAGAAAUUAUGAAGCAUCAAGAACAAGAUCAAUCAAAUUCUCAACAUUUGAGAUAUAAAAUUAAAUGAGAAAGAGAAAGGACAUGCUAACCAAGGUUGCAACUACAGUUACCCCGCCAAGAAACAAGUCAAUCACAUUCUUAGUAUUCGAAUUUUAAACUAAACAAAGAAAAAGAAUGGGCUUGCUAACCAUGGCUGCAACUACAGUUGCCCCACCAAGAAAUGGGAGAAUCACAUUCUUAGCAUUCAAAUUUUAAAUUGAGAAAGAAAGAUAAAGGAUUUGCCCACCAUGCCUGCAACUAUAGUUGCCCCGCUAAGAAACAGAUCAUCACGCUCUCAACAUCUCAUGCAUUCAUAUGCUUAAACGCAAAAGAGAAAAUCAUGACACAUCAAGAAAAGGGUCUCAUAUUCCCAGCUUUGAGAUUAAAUUAAAUGCGGAAAGAGGAUGCGUCUUGCUUAACCAUAGCUGCAAACGACACUGCCCCACCAAGAAAACGAGUCCAAU